UAGGGAAUCUUCCGCAAUGGACGAAAGUCUGACGGAGCAACGCCGCGUGAGUGAAUAAGGAUUUCGGUUCGUAAAACUCUGUUGUUAGGGAAGAAAAAAUGUAUAGUAACUAUAUACAAAAGAGACGGUACCUAACCAGAAAGCCACGGCUAACUACGUGCCAGCAGCCGCGGUAAUACGUAGGUGGCAAGCGUUGUCCGGAAUUAUUGGGCGUAAAGCGCGCGCAGGUGGUUUAGAAAGUCUGAUGUGAAAGCCCACGGCUCAACCGUGGAGGGUCAUUGGAAACUAAUAAACUUGAGUGCAGGAGAGAAAAGUGGAAUUCCUAGUGUAGCGGUGAAAUGCGUAGAGAUUAGGAGGAACACCGGUGGCGAAAGCGGCUUUUUGGCCUGCAACUGACACUGAGGCGCGAAAGCGUGGGGAGCAAACAGG
rnacentral:rRNA from 1 species